UACCAAAUAUUUUAGGAGUUUUAUGUCAAGAACAGAGGACUAAGGCCAAAUAUAUUUCACAAUAUCACAAAUGUUAUAUUCACACAACAGAACACUAUAUACCCAUGACAAAGACAAAACUACUGCUUCAUGCAACACACUGGAUGAGGCUCACAGACACAAUAUUGUACCAAAAAUAAAAGACACACUCAAAGGGUACAUAUGUGUGAUUCCACUUAUAUAAAGUUCAAGACAGACAAAAUUAAUUGAUGGUGCUGGAGGUCAGGACAGUGGUUGCCUCUGAGAGGUAUGAGCUAGGAGGGGCACAGAGACUACGGGGUGCUGGAAAUGGUCUCCACCUUGAUCUGGGUGGAGGUUUUGAGUCGGGCACUGGAGUUGUGUAUUCAAUGUACAGAUGUGAUACCUCAAUAAAAAAGAAAAGAAUGAAUGAAAUAAAACUAAACAAAUCAGCAAUCACCUCUUAGAUUCUGGUGAGUAAAAACAAUGCAAGUUGCAGAAAGACAUGGACAGUAUACCAUUUAUGUAAAUGUUAAACAUAAAGAACAAUACUAUACAUAAUAUACAUAUUUUAGGGAUACAUACAUCUGUGGUAAAAGUAUUAAGAUGAACACGAAAAGCUGGCAUGGUGGUGAGCACCUGUAAUUCCAGCUACUCAGCAUUGCUUGAGUUCUGGAAUUCGAGACCAGCCUGGGCAAUAUAGUGAGAUCCUGUUUCAAAAAAUGAAAUAAAAUAGGCCAGGCACGGUGGCUCAUGCCUGUAAUCCUAGCACUUUGGGAGGCCAAGGCGGGUAGAUUAUGAGGUCAGGAGUUCGAGACCAUCCUGGCCAACAUGGUGAAAUCCCGUCUCUACGAAAAAUACAAAAAUUAGCUGGGCAUGGUGGCACGCACCUGUAACACAUACUGGACUAAUCAGACACCCUCCUUGGGACUUUUCUAACCGGUGCUGUGGGAAGAGAACCUCUUUCCUCUCAGAGCUGUGAAGCUAUCAGCCCAGAGCUGACCCCAGCCAUCUCUCUGACAACACAGAGGAUAAUGUUCACAGUGAGAGAGGAUACAGCCAAAUCUCAGAGGCAGGAAGAGAGAGAAACAAGAGCAUCUUCCCAGCAUUUGGAUUCCUAGGGCCAAUUGACCCUAAACCAGUGCCACUCUGUCCCUCCCCACUGUUUCAUUAGGUAUUCUCUCUUAUACCUUACCACCUUGGCAUAAGCUGGAGUAAGAUCUUUAUCAUUUAUAACCAAAGACUACUACAGGUGUUUAACUCCAGGGCAGAAGGUUGGAAUGGGAGUGAGGAUGUGAAGCAGGAGAUUCACUUUUCAGAUAGUAUGUUUUUCAGUUCUAGGAUUUCCAUAUAGUUUUUUACAGUUUCCUGAUCUCUUCUAAAUUUCCCAUCUCUUUACCCAGUAUAUGCAUCUUUUCCAAAGACUCUUUAACACAUUUAUCAAAGGUAUUUUAAAGCCCUUCUCUGCCAGUCUGACAUCAGAGUUGUCUGUGAGUCUGUUUCUAUUGACUAGUAUAUCUCUUGAUUAUGGGUCACAUUUCUCUCUUUCUUCACAUAUCUAAUAAUUUUUAUAUAGUGAACAUUGUAAAUGGUAUAUUGUAGAGACUGGAUUCUGUUAUCUUCCUCUGGGAUUCUAAUAUACACUAAAGUUCAAGAAUGGCUGCCCUUAGGGGAAAGUCAUACAAGUGUGGACCUCACCCGGAGUGUCUUCCUUCUUUCAAGGAACAAGUCCCCUUCCUUUAGUCUGGUCGUCAUCCAGUGGCAUCAAACAGGUUUUUAUUUUCACCUUGUCCAGAGUUUGUAAUUAUGAUCUGUAGGAGGGGUUAGCCUUCUACAAAUCACUCUACUCUGUUAGACCAAAAUUUGGAUAUUCACAUUUUAGUUCAAAUACUAUAUUAAAUAUGGUUUGAUGUUGUUUGCAUUCUUUGUCAUUUAAAAAUAAAUUUAAAAUGUUUUUAGUUGUACUGGGCAUGGUGGCACACAUCUGUAGUCCCUGGCUACUUGGGAGGUUGGGGUAGGAGGAUUGCUUGAGCCCCAGAGUUCAAGGCUAUAGUGUGCUAUGUUAGUGCUUGUGAAUAGCCGCUGCAUUCCAGCCUGGGCAACACAGCAAGACACAUAUAUUUAAUUGCUAUUUGAAUAAAAUGUUUGUGAAAUCCUGGAAGCACCUUACAGGUUUAUGAGACACAGCUUGAAAAUCUCUAGUAUAAACCAUAUGAUUGACCAUUAUGGGUAUGGAUUAGGUUCAACCAGGCAUAGGAUUAUCUCUAUGGCAACUGUCGCCAUAGCAUCAAGCCUACGAGAGAGGUGGAAAAUGGGCUUGUGAAGAGUGAAGAGGAAUGCAGGGUAAUAUCUUCCUGGUCCCCAUUCCAGGAAAUCCAAGAGACUUGCUUUGCACCUUAAAAGAGGAAAUCUACAGAUGGUGAUUAGGUAAAAAUGAGCUUUUUGCUAAAAGCAGCCACAUUUCCAGCAUUCCAACCUAUUUUCAGAAGGAGGCUCCUCUUAGCUCCUAUGGGCUGAUUCAUAUCCACUUGGUUCAUCAAUCCUUACCUGUUAACCUGCUCACAUGCCCCAAAGUGCAGAGGGUCCCUGCUCCUCAACGAGAAGCAGGGACUCCCACUCAGGAGGGAAUUGGCCUCAAGUUUCCCAGUAUUUCCAGCCUCUAAGACCUAUGGACUGGAGAGAAAGUUCAUCUAACUAAAUCAUUGCAGCCUCUCCUUUUUCUCCUCCCCAUUCCUAGUCGGACCCACUAGUGUUUUAUUUACCAGGGAGCAGACCUGGACCAAGCUUCUCCAACUUUUUGUUUGUUUGUUUGUUUUUUGAGACAGGGUCUUCCUCUUUCACCUAGGCUGGAGUGCCGUGGUACGAUCUCGGCGCACUGUAGCCUCGGCUUCCUGGGCUCAAGUGAUUAUCCUGCCUCAGUCUCCUGAGUAGCUGGGACCACAGGCAUGCACCACUACACACAGCUAAUUUUCUUUUUUCUUUUAGAAAUGGGGUCUCACUAUGUUGCCCAGGCUGGUCUUGAACUUCUGGGAUCAAGCAAUCCUUCUGUCUUGGGCUCCCAAAGUACUGGGAUUCCAGGCAUAAGCCACAGUGCCUGGCCCUUCUCCAACUUUAAUGUGCACACAAGUCCCUUGGGGGUCUUGUUAAAAUAUAAAUCCUGAUUUAGUAGGUGUCAUGGGCCAAACUGUGUCUACCCCUCACUUUUUUUUUUUUUUUUUGAGACAGGAUCUGGCUCUGUUGCCCAGGCUGGAGUGCAGUGGCAGGAUCUCGGCUCGCUGCAACCUCCACCUCCUGGGCUCAAGUAAUUCUGCCACCUCAGCCUCCUGAGUAGCCGGGACCAUAGAUGCACACCACCACGCCCAGUUAAUUUUUCGUAUUUUUGUAAAGAUGGGGUUUUGCCAUGUUGCCCAGGCUGGUCUUGACCUCCUGAGCUCAAGCAAUCUGCCCACCUUGGCCUCCCAAAGUGCUGGGAUUUCAUACGUGAGCCACCGUGCCUGGUCAUACCCCUCAAAAUUCGUAUGUUGAAAUCAUAAUCCCCCUAUCUCAGAAUGUGAAUGUAUUUGGAGACAGGGUCUUUAAAGAGGUAAUUAAGGUUAAAUGAGGUCAUAAGAGUAGGUCCUAAUCCAAUAGGACUGGUGUGCUUAUAAGAAGAGGAGAUGAGGCCGGGCGUGGUGGCUCACGGCUGUAAUCCCAGCACUUUGGGAGGCCGAGGCAGGUGGAUCACCUGAGGUCAGGAGUUCAAGACCAGCCUGGCCAACAUGACGAAACCCUGUCUCUACUAAAAGUACAAAAAUUAGCCAGGUGUGGUGGCGGGUGCCUGUAAUCCCAGCUACUCAGGAGGCUGAGGCAGGAGAAUCGCUUGAAUCCAGGAGGCAGAGGUUACAGUGAGCUGAGAUCAUGCCACUGCGCUUCAGCCUGAGUGACAAGAGUGAGACUCCGUCUCAAAAAAAAAAAAAAAAAAAAGAGGAGCUGAGGACAGAUGCAGAGGGAAGACCAUGUGAAGACAUACGGAGAAGGCAGCCAUCCACAAGCCCAGGAGAGAGGCCUCAGAAGAAACAAACCCUGCUGACACCUUGAUCUUGGACUUCUGGCCUCCAGAACUGUGAGAAAAUACCUUUCUGUUGUAUAAGCCGUCCACUGUGUGAUACUUAGUUAUGGCAGCCCUAGCAAACUCAUACAUGUGGGUGGGAAGGCACUGAGCUUUCUGCAUUUCUAACAAGCUCCUGGAUGCUGCUGAUUCGAGGACCACACUUUGAGUAGCAUGGACCUAGAGAAUCUGAUUCCUUUUUAUUUUAUGACAUUGUCAGCAGCUUCCUAAGUCAUUAGCAGGUGGGGAGGAGGACACUUUUUCUCAAACUCUGCCUUCCUAAAGAUAGCUAAGGUAAUUGUUCUCUACAUUUUUUGUGGCACUUUUGAAAUUUUACAAAUAGAGUGGCACCUUUCAGUUUCUGUAAGUGAAUGCAGUGGGCUGGAUAUACCCACACGGCAUGGCAGGCAUAGUAUGCAAAUGUAAAAAUUCAUCAUCCAGGUAUAGCAUAAGCAAACAUUCAUCAAACUGUAUCAUUAAAAUUUGUACGACUUACCACUUGUAAGUUAUGCCACAAUAAAAAAGAAAAAAAAUCUGCAUGGGAAUGAUACACAUGACAGUUAUUACCUCUGGGGGCAGAGGCAGGAAAGGAACAGGGUUGGCCUUAUGUGUAUUUCUAACAUAUUUCUUCAAAGAGAUAGAGGGCUGAAGCAUAUAGGGGGAUUUCUUUCUUUCUUUCUUUUUUGAGACAGGGUCUUGCUCUGUUGCACAGGCUGGAGUGCAGUGGCACAGUCAUAGCUCACUACAGCCUUGACCUCCCAGGCUCAAGCGAUCCUCCCACUUCAGCCUCCCAAGUAGCUGGGACUACAGGAGCAUGCCACCACGCCGCCUGGCUAAUUUUUUAAAUUUUUAGUAGAGACGAGAUAUCACUAUGUUGCCCAGGCUGGUCUUGAACUCCUGGGCUCCAGCAAUCCUCCUGCUUUGGCCUCCCAAAGUGCUGAGAUUACAGGUGUGAGCUACCUCGCCCAGUCAGGAGAAAAUAUUAACAGCUGUUUCAUCUCAGUGAUACUAGGUAUCUGCUUUAUUGUUUUCUGUGUGUUUGAAAUAUUUCAUAAUUAAAAUCAACUAUUUUUUAACAUUAAAAAAAUAAAGCCUGGAAAGACCAACACUGCAUGAACCAAAUAAAACUCCUCAGAGGCUACUGCACCAUUCUCUUGGUCUCCCUGUGGGACUGCACAGUUGUUUAUGUACGAAUGCUUACUGCCCUGACCCAGGGCUCCUGUAUCUUCAGUAAAUACCUGCUCCCUCUUUGUCACGGGUGUGAUGUGAUGUCACCCCACCCACUCAGCCCAGCACCCUCAUAUGCCAUUCAUCACCAGAAGUGUGUCCUCGGUGCAGCCUCAACUGUGGGAAAAAUAACGUUUAUAUAUCAACCCAAAUUUGAAGACACUCUGUAUUGGGUUCAUAGUUUAAAGCUACCAGAGAACAGACUUCUCUGAUCCUGAAAGCAAUUAAAGCCUAGUGGUUGAACUCACUGGGUAGAAGCCUGGGUUUUCCAGUUUACUAAAUAUAUGCCCCUGGGAAAGUUAGUUUCUCAGCUUCUAUUUCUUCACCUGUAAAUUGGGAAUGACGACAGUAUCUACCUAGUUGGGCUUACGGGUAGAUUUAAAUUUGCUGAGUUAUUGGUGCAUAACUGUUCAUUAGUUAUUAUUAAGUAAUUAAUACUGGGUUGAUUUUACUUUAACUAUCUUUCUUACAUCAUA
rnacentral:lncRNA from 10 species